CUUUAUUUCCCCCAACACUGUGCCGUCGUCGUCGUUGUGUUGUGCUCAUUCACACAUUUUGCUGGGACAUUUCAGUCGGUUCGUUUAUUUUCCCCCUCAAUUGUGUUGUUGGUGUGCUUGCUUUUUGCUCGUCAUUCGUUUGCUGGUGCGCACACAAAGUUGUUGGUUGUUUGCCUGACGGGCUGAGAGUUGGCUCACUGGCUGGCGGCUCUGACUAACUGCUGCUGUUGGGGCCGCUCGCUGCUGCUUAUUGCUGACGAUGACUACAAUGACUGCUGACUGGUGGGGCUGCCAUUGACGCAGCUACUACCGCCGCCGCCAGUGGCUGUUGCUGUUGCUGUUGUUGCAGCUGGUGUACGGGAGGCAAGCGAUUUUUGCGACCGAAACUCGGAAUGUGAAUGCGAAUUGGCACGCCAGCAAAACGUAAGAGCUGGUUGGAUGGAUGGAGCGUUCGUUGGCUCUGGCUGACUAGCUUAGCUCACUGAAUACAACGGUCGUGCACGUCGCUCGGUCGGUAGGUAGAUAGACAAAGCACUCCGUUGUGUCAGAGCACGAGCACUAGCACAGUCAGCAGCAGCAAUCAACGGCGGCCACAACAACAACGACUACAACAACUAAAUAACAGGCAAGGCGGCAAUAAUCGCAACGGCACUGAAACUGACGCGAACGUAUACUGACUUAGCAGCCGAUGGUGUGCUUGCUGCGCCUGAUGAUGAUGACUACAUGCUGCCGUAGCAUACAUGGAUGCGGGGGACAAGUGGCGAGGAGAUGGCAUCGAAUCAGCAGUAUUGGGGAUUCGUGGAGCGACUUUACGACGUGCACACAGCACACAGCACACAGCGCAGUGAACGAACGAGUCGCAUUAAAUGAGUCGAAGCGAAAACACCAACAAAAAGCACACACACGCGCAUAGGCAUAAGCACACGUACGUAUCUACAUACCAGGCGAUAUACAUACAUACAAUCCAAAUGAAUUCUUGUCGCCGUUGCCGUAGUCGUCGUCGUCGUGUUGAUGAUCAAAGUGUUGGCGUACAAGGGCAUAGAGAGGCAGCGGCGCAAACAGUUGUGGCGGCAAAUGAAAAACGACAGCAUCGUUGGCACACUUGGCAAACAUGCAUCGACGACUGGAGGUGGCAGGCAAGCGGUGCGGUGCGGUGGGCGGCAUGUUGGCCGGCAAUGGACUGAGGCGAGGCGAGUGGGGUGGACCACGUAAUACGUGAGUGGCGGUGGUGGCGCGCACAUUUCGCAUUCGCACUCGACUGCACUGAACUGAGCUGAACGUUAAAGUAAAAUGAAAUGAACCGACCUCAAGUUGAACAAGGCAAGCCAAAAACAACAAUAAAACAACAUAAAUUAAAGGAAAAAACGAUAAAAUUAAUACAACCAGAGAAAAAAAUGUCAGUUACAACAGCGAACAAAUAAAAUACAGCAGCUGGGUUCGAUGACAAAGUGGGGUGGCGGAACAAAGUGGAGCUGAAUUGCUACAAUGUGGCGUUUAAGUUGAAAAACGCACAACGAGUAACUUUGAAACAGCGAGAAAUUGUGAAGAGGACAAACGUGAGUUUGUUGAAUAGUUACUUAGCAAAGUGAAUUGGGAUUAAAAUAGAAAAACAAAAAAAAAACAAAGUGCAGUGCAAAACUUAUGCUACGCCAUGUUUACUUGUAGAAAAACCGGCAACAAACAACGUGUCUGUGACUAAAUAUGUAUGUAUGUAAGCCUCCAACAUUGGCAGACGUGCGCACAAAUGUAGCUCAUGCUCUCAAGUUACACGCGGCGCUUGCAAUGUAAGAAAAAAUGCGCGCGAAAAAUCUGGAUCCAAAAGCAAGUAUGCUAGCUAACGAGCUGAUUGCCUGAAAACAUUGUCGCUAUGUAGACUUAGCAUUGAAACAACAUGGUCGCAUACAAUAUCGAAAAAGAUGCACUGCGAAAAAAGUACAAAUUUCUAACGACUCAAAUGAGACUAACAAAGCAUUACAGGCAGGAAGGAAAGAAAAAUGAGCAGCAGCAACUUUUGAUAGCUCAAUGGCAUGCCGGCACGAUAGUGCGACCAACAACAACAACCAAUUAAUGAAAAAUCGUUUGUAACACUGUUGCAACUGCAACUGCCAGCAAUGCGAACUAAGUAACACAUCGCAGUUAUGUUGUGUUACUGCUGUGCCAUUACUAAGUAGUACUGAGCUACUGUCGCGCUCUUGCUGGAGUUGAUGAUGACGACGACGAUGGCUAUGAUGGCGAUGCUGAUACUCUAUGGAACAGACAUCAAGCACAAACACACACACGCACACACACACACAAAUCCAUUCGCAUGUAAACAACAUAUGCUGCCGAGCCAAAACGCUAAACCGCCAGCCAAGCAACUCCCCAACAACAAAGCAGCUCGUGUAACAAUGUUGCCUCUGUGAAAGCAACAUAAAAAAAACAAGCAAGCAAGCAACCAGCAAUGAACAACAAACUACGACGAAAAACUAGCAACAUAAAAAGCAAAAGUUAUUCGCGCGCGCUGUCAUCUGAAUUUUCAAAGCCAUCUGACGAGUAUAUCGAAUAGUUUUUAAGUGCAUGCGACGACGACGACGACGACGACGACUAUAUGCAUAACAAAAGCAUCAGCAGCUGCGUCAACAACCACACAACAUAAAACGAACGAACGAAAAAAAA